rnacentral:misc_RNA from 1 species
GGAAGGAUCAUUACCGGAUUGUAAAAUCCAAACGAGAGAUCCAUCAUGGGGUCCAUUUGCCUGCUUGAUGCGGUGAGCGCUCUGCGCAAUUCCGUGGCAUCUAAGGGCCUAGCAGAGAGCAAUCUGGGGUUUAACUUUCGACCGUGGCAACUGUGAGGCCAAGAAUCCUGGUCGGGGUUGAACAUACCAGAGUUCUCUUUCAAACGAGGGACCACUUCGUUUGGGUACGUACACCUGGCGUCUUGACAGGACAUGUCCUGCCUGUUGGAGUGGGAUGCCCAGGUAAAACCUUAGCCAGGCAGUGAUUCUAAAGCUAAGGGUACGUUUAAAGAGAAAGGCGAGGGACUGUCGGAAGGCAGACCCGGGUGCCAUUGUCUCUGGCCUAGCCUGGUCAAAGACAGCCGUACCGUGAACCUGGUACGGGCUGGCCGCUCACACCGGCGCGGAACCUGCGCCCGUCUUUCCGCCCUGACACCCCUUUAAACCUUCUAAAGAUUUGACCACCUAAAUCAACUAUUCUAAGCGGUGGAUCACUAGGCUCGUGGGUCGAUGAAGAACGCAGCCAACUGCGUGAAUUAAUGUGAAUUGCAGACACAUUGAACAUUGACACUUUGAACGCACAUUGCGGAAGCGGGGUUUUCCCGCUUCCACAUCUGUCUGAGGGUGAUAUGGAAAAUAACAUCGCUCACUCUGUGUGACUGGUAUGUGACAAUGCCGGCCAUGGUGCCCAAUGGUGAGCGGGUUUGACUCGCUGCCAGAGUUCUCUCUGGUACCGAGUUUAAAUACGGGUAGGCGGGUGAAUCUCUACCGCCGUCACUCUUUACAGGACGCGCUGGUCUUGCCCACCCCGGACCAGGCUUGCCGGUGAUUCUUUCGGCAGCCUUUUCUGGUGGUCGAUUCUGGGUUUGAACGCCGUCUCUCAUUUCUUCACCUCAGCUCAGGUGUGAUUACCCGCUGAAUUUAAGCAUAUUAUUAAGCGGAGGAAAAGAAACUAACAAGGAUUCCCCUAGUAAUGGCGAAUGAACGGGGAAGAGCCCAGCACCGAAUCCCGUCAGUGCCUCACUGCGGGACCUGUGGUGUUUAGGCAAGCCUUUCCGGCAUCUCGAGGCAGUCAAAGUCCCCUUGAGGGGGGCCAUCGCCCAUAGCGGGUGCAAGGCCCAUACGACGUCUCUUGUGUCGGUAGGAGCUGCCGUGGAGUCGGGUUGCUUGAGAGUGCAGCCCAAAGUGGGUGGUAAACCCCAUCUAAGGCUAAAUAUCACCACGAGACCGAUAGCAAACAAGUACCGUGAGGGAAAGUUGCAAAGAACUUUGAAGAGAGAGUUCAAAGGACGUGAAACCGCUUAGAAGCAAACGGGUGGAGCUGCCAUUACCUUUGUCGGAUUCAGCCGGCCAGGGGUGGACUGCUUCCUCGGGAUCGCAACUGACCCGGGAGUGGUUCUGGUCUGCCUCUGGUUGGUGCACUUUCGGCAAAUGUGCGCUACGACCAACUGGGAAGCCAGCUAGAAGGUCACUUGAGUGUCGACUGCGGCCUCACGGUUGCAGUGCCCCAUCUGGUGAACCUGCUCGGUUUUCCCGGUUGAGUAAACGACCGCACCCGCUCGUGUCUCGGCUUGGCCGGCUUGGGGUCGCUGAAUGGUUUGCUGUGCUCGCACGGCAGGCUGUACCCUGGUUCCAGAGCCGACCAAGACCGAGAUGGUGCAUAUGGUCUGUAGCGUCCGAGUCAGCCAACCACCCGACCCGUCUUGAAACACGGACCAAGGAGUCUAACAUGUGCGCAAGUCAUUGGGUUGUCUAAACCUAAAGGCGCAAUGAAAGUGAAAGUUAGCUUCAGCUAGCUUAGGUGGGAUCCCUGGCUUGUCCAGGGCGCACCACCGUCCCAUCGCAUCUGCUUGUCAGAGCGGUGGAGAAAGAGCGCACACGUUGGGACCCGAAAGAUGGUGAACUAUGCCUGAGCAGGAUGAAGCCAGAGGAAACUCUGGUGGAGGUCCGUAGCGGUUCUGACGUGCAAAUCGAUCGUCAGACUUGGGUAUAGGGGCGAAAGACUAAUCGAACCAUCUAGUAGCUGGUUCCCUC